UUCCGGUUGAUCCUGCCGGACCUGACUGCUAUCGGAUUGAUACUAAGCCAUGCGAGUCUUUGUAGUAAUACAAGGCAGACGGCUCAGUAACACGUAGUCAACCUACCCUAUGGACGAGAAUAAUCUCGGGAAACUGAGCAUAAUUCUUGAUAGAUCAUAAUGCCUGGAAUGGUUUAUGGUUAAAAUGAUUCGUCGCCAUAGGAUGGGACUGCGGCCUAUCAGCUUGUUGGUGAGGUAAUGGCCCACCAAGGCGAUUACAGGUACGGGCUCUGAGAGGAGAAGCCCGGAGAUGGGUACUGAGACAAGGACCCAGGCCCUAUGGGGCGCAGCAGGCGAGAAAACUUUGCAAUGUGCGAAAGCACGACAAGGUUAAUCCGAGUGAUUUCUGCUAAAGAAAUCUUUUGCCAGUCAUAAAACCACUGGUGAAUAAGGGGUGGGCAAGUUCUGGUGUCAGCCGCCGCGGUAAAACCAGCACCUCAAGUUGUCAGGAUGAUUAUUGGGCCUAAAGCAUCCGUAGCCGGCUUUGUUAGUUUUCGGUUAAAUCCAUGUGCUCAACGCAUGGGCUGCCGAAAAUACUGCAGGGCUAGGGAGUGGGAGAGGUAGACGGUACUCAGUAGGAAGGGGUAAAAUCCUUUGAUCUAUCGAUGACCACCUGUGGCGAAGGCGGUCUACCAGAACACGUUCGACGGUGAGGGAUGAAAGCUGGGGGAGCAAACCGGAUUAGAUACCCGGGUAGUCCCAGCUGUAAACGAUGCAGACUCGAUGAUGCAUUGGCAUAUAGCCAGUGCAGUGUCGCAGGGAAGCCGUUAAGUCUGCCGCCUGGGAAGUACGUACGCAAGUAUGAAACUUAAAGGAAUUGGCGGGGGAGCACCACAAGGGGUGAAGCCUGCGGUUCAAUUGGAUUCAACGCCGGG
rnacentral:rRNA from 1 species